rnacentral:rRNA from 1 species
UACAGAGGUCUCAAGCGUUGUUCGGAUUCAUUGGGCGUAAAGGGUGCGUAGGCGGCGUCGUAAGUCGGGUGUGAAAUCUCGGGGCUCAACUCCGAAAUUGCAUUCGAUACUGCGGUGCUCGAGGACUGGAGAGGAGACUGGAAUUCACGGUGUAGCAGUGAAAUGCGUAGAUAUCGUGAGGAAGACCGGUGGCGAAGGCGGGUCUCUGGACAGUUCCUGACACUGAGGCACGAAGGCCAGGGGAGCAAACGGG